rnacentral:rRNA from 1 species
AGAGUUUGAUCAUGGCUCAGAUUGAACGCUGGCGGCAUGCUUUACACAUGCAAGUCGAACGGUAACAGGCCGCAAGGUGCUGACGAGUGGCGAACGGGUGAGUAAUGCAUCGGAACGUGCCCAGUCGUGGGGGAUAACGCAGCGAAAGCUGCGCUAAUACCGCAUACGAUCUAUGGAUGAAAGCGGGGGACCGUAAGGCCUCGCGCGAUUGGAGCGGCCGAUGUCAGAUUAGGUAGUUGGUGGGGUAAAGGCUCACCAAGCCAACGAUCUGUAGCUGGUCUGAGAGGACGACCAGCCACACUGGGACUGAGACACGGCCCAGACUCCUACGGGAGGCAGCAGUGGGGAAUUUUGGACAAUGGGCGCAAGCCUGAUCCAGCAAUGCCGCGUGCAGGAAGAAGGCCUUCGGGUUGUAAACUGCUUUUGUACGGAACGAAAAGGCUCUGGUUAAUACCUGGGGCACAUGACGGUACCGUAAGAAUAAGCACCGGCUAACUACG